rnacentral:lncRNA from 1 species
UGAUUUGUUUUUAUAGGGAAUUGAUAAUUGACUAAACUUAGUUUAUUUCUCUCACCUGUAUCUCUUCGUCUGUUCUCAUUCCCAAAUCUGUAUUCUCAUCCUCAAUCUUACAGAAAGUUUGGUUAAGGAGUUUAGCCUAUUGCCUAACAUGAGGUGUUAGGACCACCACUUCUCCUUUUUCCCGAUGUUGAUGUUGAGCAACCUUGGCCUGAUGGCAAUGGAGGUUCAGUUUAUGUGGGUUGUCUUUAGAGUAUGUGUUUGGUGUUUGUCAAGCCUCAUAGCCGGCAGCCUUCUAUUUCUAUUAUCCACAAGGUUGGCUUUAUUCUAAAUUUAGGUGGUGGUCACAAUGCUUUAAAGACCAGUGGACUCUUCGUCGAAAAGCAAUAAGGUUAGGCCUACUUAAGUUUUUAUAUUCAUAUUCUUUAUUUUAUUUUCUAGCCUUAGGCUUUGCAAUUUAAAAAAAGGAAAAUUGACUAAUUUAUGUUUAAUUUUUGUGAUUUUCAUUAGUUUAAAUAUUCAAUAUAUUACAAUUUUAAUUCAAUUUAAUGUGUUAAUCUUGACUAAUAAAGAAAUGUAAAUAUAUAUUUAAAUUAAAUUUUACAUGAUUUUAAUUGAAAUUGAAAUUGAGAAUGGCUGAUAUACUAAUACUAUUGAUAUGGUAAAAGUCUCAUAGUAAAAAAUUUAAAACAUUUUUAUAUUUAUUGAUUAUAGCUCGAUUUUAAAUUGUUGUUUUAAUUAUAGUUGAUUGAUUAAUUUUGACCUAAAUUAUUUUAAAUUAAUAUUUUAUUACUUAGUACAAUAAAAAAAUUAAUAUAUUUCUUUAUUUUACCUAAUAUAAUUUAUGAAAUUUUCCUCUUUUUAUUUUUUAUAUUAUAUUUUUUAAUGUAUUUAUUAAAUAUAUGUGAAACAAAUAUAAUAUUUUAUAAUUAUAAAUAUUAAUUUUUUUAAUUUUUAAAAUGUCAAACAUUUUAUGAGUUUUAAUAUAAUAUGUACUUUUUUAAAAGGAAGUUAAUUUCUACUAGCAAAAAAAUAUCAAAAUAGAUAUAUAUAAAAUUAUUUUUAAUAUUUUUAUUUAUUUUUUUAUUCUCUAAAGAUACAGUAGCAAUUAUAUAUUUUUUAUUAUUAUUAGUUAUUUAAUAUUUUUAUUAUAUUUUAUAUAUGUAUUUUUUAUAAGUAUUAAUUACCGUAAUAGCUGUGAUAAUUUUAAUAAUAAUAAAUCAGUAUAAUUAUAAAUGGGUACUCAUUUGAAAUAUUUAUAUUUAAAUAUUUUUUAAAAAAAUUAUAACUAUUAGUUAAAAUAUAUUUUACUUAAAAAUAUUAAUCAAAGAUAUUAUAUAUUAAAAUUGAAUUAUAAUAAUAUAAAUAAUAUAUUUAAUUUAAUGGUAAGUGCAUCUAAAUAAAUCUGAAAGGAGAUUUCAGAUUUUAUGUUUUUGAAUAUUCAAUCUCUAUUUCAUAUAUGUAUAAUAAAUUCUAUUAACUUAAUAUAAUAUAUAUAAAAUAAAUAUAUAAAUAUAUUAAACUUAUUACAUUAAAUAAUAAAAUAUUAAUAUUUAUGCCAAGUCAACUAUUUAAUUUUUAAUUUUAAUUAUAGAUUAAAAUUAACAUUAAGAUAAAAUUGACAAGAAAAAGUUUAGUUAAAAUUGAUAAAAAUACUAAAAUUUUAAUUUUUUUCUGAACAUUGAAACCUAAAAAUUAUUAAUAUAUUAAAUUAUCUGAUAUUAUGUUGUCUAUUUAAUAGGAAUGGGUCUUAUAUCACAUUAUAUUUAAUACGUCGUAGUUGAAGUUGUAACGUAACACGUCACCUCUUGUAUAAUUAAUUAUAUUAUUUUAUAUUGCAUUAGGUUAAUCUUAAAUUAAUUUACUAUUUAGUCUUGUGGAUAAAUUUAUUAAUUAAUUUUUUAAUUUUAAAAGAUAUAUUAAAAUAUUAACAUUUAAAAAUUUAUUAAUUAAUUCUUUAACCAGAUUUUAUAGUUAUUUAAAAUUUAAUCUUUAUAGUUUAAAAGAAUUUAUUAAUUGAUUUAUAAUUUUGUAAUAAAUCUACUAAUUAGUCUUAUAAAAGUAUUUUUUAUUUUUUUUAUAAUAUUUAAUAAUUAAAAUUAAUUGAUGAAUUAAUUAAUAAUAUUAAAAAUAUUUUAAUAUAUUUUUUAAAAUUAAGAGAUUAAUUAAUAAUAAUUUUUCCAUUAUAAAAUAUAUAGUAUAUCACACUAAAAUUAUUGUGUAAUGUGAGAUCAUGUCAUUAUCCUCACGUAAACCAUUAUCUUUUGUUUGUGAAACUAAUAUCUACUUUGAGACUUGUCUACCCAUUUAAUGCUUACAUAAGAAUGGAUAAUCAUUAAUAUAAUUUAAUUAAAUUUCAAUAUCAAUCCAUCUCCAUCUCUCUUAAAACAAUGAAAAGGAGAAAGAAAUCAUUAAAAGAAACAAAUUAGUUAUUAUAUUUUUAAAAAUAAGCUAUUAUCAAACUACAGAAAAUACAAUUCUGCCAUAACAAUCCUUUCAAUAAUUAACUUGAUCAUACAAAUCAAUGGUUGCUUGCUUUUGUUUUUUUCCUGAUAAAGACGAGGUCAAUUAGAGUAGAAAAGAAUUGAUUAAGAAAAAGGAUAAUGAUUUUGUCCUAAGCAGUGAUAAUUAAUAAGAGAGGUGGCUUGCAAAAAGUAAAAGCAAAGAAUGAUAGUGAUGAUAAGGUGGGUGGUGGUAAAAGGUUAUAAUUUUCGCUUUUGUCAAUUACACCAACUUGGUUGCAGAGGACCAAACAAUUGCAAAAAUAAAGAAUGGCAAACGGUAUGAACCAACUUUCCCUAUUUCAAUUGACAAUCUGUCUCCACACUACUAAAUAGGAUGAGUUUCCUUUCUUUAGUUCUCUUUGUUUAUUUAUUUGCUUAGUUUUACACUUUACAUUUGUAAGUAUGAAAAUCCAAGGAAAAGCAUGGCACAGAUAUAAUUUAAGUGGAAAGAAUCUCUUCAAGAAAGUAUAGCAUUGCUAUUUGCUGCUCUAUAAUUCAGCAUUAAAAUUAUCCAACACAAAUAUUAUUCAGCUGCUAGAACAAGCUAUAAGCACCUAACCCUGCUUUUAAUUAAACAGCUUCCACCAACAGCCAGUUACACAGAGAAUCCAAUUCUAGAGACGAUGGGGAAAAAAAUAAAUUUUGAGAAUCAGAGCGUAGAUAUCUCAAUAUUUCUCAUCCAAUUUGGUAUAUUGGGAUACAGACCCUACCAGUUUAACACAAUAUGGUAGUGAAUCUAGAGACACGGUGCUGUAUUCCAAGGAGGUGGUAGGAUUAGAUGCAAACAUGCCUACAUAAAUUUUCUCAUUUGAGUGAUAACCAGCAUAAUUGAGAAUUGAUAGCCUCUGUGGUACUUGUUUGAAGUUUUGAUAAGGAGACUUGAAAUAUCCCAGUGAAGGAAAAGAAUUAACGAGUUAGUGGACAUACUCGAAAUGCAGCAAUCAGAAGGACGUCUCAAUCUUGUCAUGCAGGUUGACCACCAAGUCAUGUGCAUCAUCUAGCAGCUUCCAUACAUCGAGUUGGCCUGCCAUGCU